rnacentral:rRNA from 1 species
GGGGGGGGGGGGGGGGGGGGUGGGGGGAGGCAGGGCGGAGGGGAAGGGGGGGGGUGGGGGGGGGGGUCGGGUGGCGAGGGGGGGGGUGACGGGGGGGGAGGCUGGCCGUGACUUGGGGAUGAGGUCAGGAAACUGGGGAUAAUACCGGAUAGGAGCUCCUGCUGGCUGGUGGGGGUUGGAAAGUUUCGGCGGUGGGGGAUGGCCUGGCCGCGUAGCAGCUUGUGGGUGGGGUAGUUGCUUACCAAGGCGUUGCCGGGUAGCCGGCCUGAGAGGGUGAGCGGCCACAUUGGGACUGAGAGACGGCCCAGACUCCUACGGGAGGCAGCAGUGGGGAAUAUUGCAAAAUGGGCGGAAGCCUGAUGCAGCAACGCCGCGUGCGGGAUGACGGCCUUCGGGUUGUAAACCGCUUUCGCCUGUGACGAAGCGUGAGUGACGGUAAUGGGUAAAGAAGCACCGGCUAACUACGUG